rnacentral:rRNA from 1 species
UACGAAGGGUGCUAGCGUUGUUCGGAAUCACUGGGCGUAAAGCGCGUGUAGGCGGCUAUGCAAGUCGGAUGUGAAAGCCCUCGGCUCAACCGGGGAAGUGCACCCGAAACUGCAAAGCUAGAGUCUCGGAGAGGAUCGUGGAAUUCUCGGUGUAGAGGUGAAAUUCGUAGAUAUCGAGAGGAACACCGGUGGCGAAGGCGGCGAUCUGGACGAUGACUGACGCUGAGACGCGAAAGCGUGGGGAGCAAACAGG